rnacentral:rRNA from 1 species
GGGGAAUAUUGGGCAAUGGACGCAAGUCUGACCCAGCAACGCCGCGUGAAGGAAGAAGGCUUUCGGGUUGUAAACUUCUUUUAAGGGGGAAGAGUAGAAGACGGUACCCCUUGAAUAAGCCACGGCUAACUACGUGCCAGCAGCCGCGGUAAUACGUAGGUGGCAAGCGUUGUCCGGAUUUACUGGGUGUAAAGGGCGUGUAGCCGGGAAGGUAAGUCAGAUGUGAAAGCCCUGGGCUCAACCUGGGAACUGCAGUGGAUACUGGAUCACUAGAGUGUGGCAGAGGGUAGUGGAAUUCCCGGUGUAGCAGUGAAAUGCGUAGAGAUCGGGAGGAACAUCAGUGGCGAAGGCGACUGCCUGGGCCAACACUGACACUGAGGCACGAAAGCGUGGGGAGCAAACA